CGCCCGUCGCUCCUACCGAUUUUGAUUUUGAGUGAUCCGAUGAAAUUCUUGGACCGUGUCAUUCAGUCAUUCAGUUGAUAUGGAAAGUUAAUUAAAUUAAAUCUUAUCACUUAGAGGAAGAGAGGAAGGAAGGAGAAGUCGUAACAAGGUUUCCGUAGGUGAACCUGCAGAAGGAUCA
rnacentral:misc_RNA from 1 species